UUAGGCCGACUGCAGAAGGAAAGUAACAGUUGAAGAGAGAGCUUUGAGAGUUGCCUGUAAUGAAUCAAAGAAAUGAAAUGUCAAACAGGUUUUAAUGGGGCCAUUUGGACAACGUCAAGCCACAUCAGUAGCUGGUAUAAGCACUCAUGUGCUGGGAGCUCUGCGGCAGCACUGGCACUGUGGGAAAACUCCUGCUGACUCACAACCUGCAGUUCAACACUGAGUGAUUGAGGCAAACACUGCACACGUUUCUCAGUUUGGUUCUCGGAGGCUUUGAUGCUGUGCCUUUUCUGUCAGUGUCAGUGUUUUGAGGACAGCCAGACAACACCGCCUUCACACGCACAAGUUUGCAGAUGAAAAUGGGCCUGGAACCUUUCAUUCUGCACUGCUGAAGGUAGAGAGGGGGUUGGAGUCUCACGGGGAGACCACCGCUUUGUUUGAG